AUUGAACGCUGGCGGCAUGCUUUACACAUGCAAGUCGAACGGCAGCACGGGUGCUUGCACCUGGUGGCGAGUGGCGGACGGGUGAGUAAUGCAUCGGAACGUGUCCUUAAGUGGGGGAUAACGCAUCGAAAGAUGUGCUAAUACCGCAUAAUCUCUGAGGAGAAAAGUAGGGGAUCGAAAGACCUUAUGCUUUUGGAGCGGCCGAUGUCUGAUUAGCUAGUUGGUAAGGUAACGGCUUACCAAGGCGACGAUCAGUAGUUGGUCUGAGAGGACGACCAGCCACACUGGGACUGAGACACGGCCCAGACUCCUACGGGAGGCAGCAGUGGGGAAUUUUGGACAAUGGGCGCAAGCCUGAUCCAGCAAUGCCGCGUGAGUGAAGAAGGCCUUCGGGUUGUAAAGCUCUUUUAGCUGAAAAGAAAAAAUCGUGACUAAUAAUCACGAUUUAUGACGGUAUCAACAGAAAAAGCACCGGCUAACUACGUG
rnacentral:rRNA from 1 species